GACGUUUUUAAGCAUUUUUUUUAUGGAUUUUGAAGGCAUACAAAUACGUCCUCCACUCAUAAUAAGCAUAAAAUAUAAGGACGUAGUGUUGUGUUUGUGACUUUGUGUACACAAAUCUAUGAAAAACGCUACCUUAUAAUGAUGGUCUUCAAAUCUGACAUUCCUUCAUAAAAUAUAUGAAUGCUAUUGGUGCACAGUAAAAUAAAUAACGGAAAUUCUGUAGACAACCCGUUAAUGAGAUAUACUAAGCAAAUAAUUAAUGGUUUACAAAUAAUUCACCGCAGGAUAACAGUAUUUGGUUAGCAGCGCGGACCGAGAUUUACAGGAAACCGAAAACAAAAACCGACCGGUAGGUAAUGCGGGGCGUGCUAGUUAUUUGUUUCCUCUGUAAUCCAUUUCCUUCGCCAACAAUAACGUGAAGUGUCUAAUUCCAUAGAAAUUCGCCGGGACGACACUAGGAUAGUGGGAUUUAUAAAUGAAAGGAUCCCCCUGUACCUCGUAUUAUGCUUUUGUUUUUCCGGCCACGUUAUCCGCGCUCGUUUCCAG